CUACUACUUAUAAAGGCACGAAGUGCCGUUGGAAAAUUGAAUCUGAAACGUCCAUCCAUUUGCAUCACACGGUUAACAGUAAUCUGUUCUCCCCACCCACGAUUUCCGCCAGCGCCAUCUCCCCACGCUCAUUUUCCAAAAAUAUCUGGCUCAAUACAUCUGCGUUGCCCAAAUCACGAAACGACAAGGAAACCGUUCCUCUAAAUCGGGCCCUUCCUAGCGAGCUCUCCAUCUCCAUCUCCAACGAUAGAAACAAGGGCGGACACUUCCUGGCGGACUAUCCCGGAAGGCCGAAACUGACGGAUCAAAAAAAAAAACUGCCUCGCACGUUCACCCCGCCUCUCCGCGCAGGGCCACGGAGAUCAGUUCUCCCUUCUCCCCAUCCUUCCCAAUUUCUCACGCAACCUUUGCCCUGCGCCGCCACACCCUCUCCUCCGCCGCCUCCCCACAGGAUGUCGCCUGACCCGCUCGGGCGCCUCCUCGACGAUUGAUGCGGAACCGUCUGGUAGAGAGCGCCAUGGCCUCCUCUCUAGGGAUUCAGAAAUCGGGAGGGGGCAGGGAGAGAGGUCACGAUAGGCGUGGAUGGAAGGGAAGGCGCAGGACGACCCAGAAGACAUCCGCCCGCACGCUCUCACAGUCUCGCUCUGCCGGAUGGUACUGCACCGCCGGACGACGAGGGCUCCUUGUUGCUGGCCAAACUCAAGCGCUUUCUCGCGAAGAUAAUUGUGGAUUCCAAAGUAACGACCACUGUUAUCUUACUCCUUGGUGCUGGAAAGUGGUGGUAGUAGAACCAUAUAAAUCUCAGACAAUUACAUGUAUCUCGCCAAUUAGGCCAAUCUUGGUGCUGAAUCGUGUUAUGUUGGGUGUGCACCUAUAUGGGGUAGUAGCAGCAAUGAAAGACUCAUGGACCCACCCAAUAGAAGCUACGUAAUCUAGAGUUGAAGCCAAUUUCAGAACACUAGGUUCUGGAAUCUCCCCAGAUCCAGAAGCUUGGAAGCGCAGAUGGAGGACUUUUGAUAUCUAUAUACAGGGAGAGGGCAAGGAGCAGAAUUCUGACAUAAGAGAGGCUGCAAGAGAGUGAAUUCUUUUGUUAUUGUAAAGAAGGAUUAUGUUGUUCGUGUGGAAAAAAGCUUCCUUGAUA